GUCCUAGUAGCUUAAACACAAAGCAUGGCACUGAAGAUGCCAAGACGGUAGCCCUCCUACCCAAGGACA
rnacentral:tRNA from 2 species